AGAGAUGUGUGAUGACGCAUAUCAAUAAGCGGAGGAAAAGAAACUAACAAGGAUUCCCUUAGUAACGGCGAGUGAGGCGGGAAGAGCUCAAAUUUGAAAUCUUCAAGGUUCUACCUUGACGAAUUGUAGUUUAUAGAAGUGUUUUCUGUUAGUAGAGUGGCAAAAGUUCUUUGGAAUAGGACAUCAUAGAGGGUGAGAAUCCCGUAUUUGGUCAUUCUUUCUAGCUUUGUGAUACACUUUCAACGAGUCGGAUUGUUUGGGAAUGCAGUCCAAAAUGGGUGGUAAAUUUCAUCUAAAGCUAAAUAUCGGCGAGAGACCGAUAGCGAACAAGUACCGUGAGGGAAAGAUGAAAAGAACUUUGAAAAGAGAGUUAAACAGUACGUGAAAUUGUCAAAAGGGAAGCGUUUGACACCAGUGUUGUUUAGUUGAAAAUCAAUUCAAUAAUUUUUGAUUUUAAGUAGUAUUGACUUCAUCAGCUUGCUGCUUUCUUUUCAGGAAUUAUUGAAUGCACUUUUCAGUUAACAAGUCAACAUCAAUUUCUUUUGUUGUAAAAGGGUAAGAGGAAGGUGGCUUACGCUUCGGCGUAAGUGUUUAUAGCCUUGUAGCCUCUGCAAUCGGAGAGAUUGAGGUCUGCAGCGUAGAUCCUUCGGGGUUAGAUACAGUUUGUGCUAAGUUAUAGCUUUUCAUAGACAACUUGUUGACUAUGUUUAGUCUUGUGACUUACUCGCUGAUGCUAUUUUACCUACGCUUAGGAUGUUGACGAUCAGCUGAGCGCG
rnacentral:rRNA from 1 species